UGUACUGCAAAGGAAAAAUAAAACAAAACUUAUUUAUUUACCUUUUGCAUAAUGGUUUAAUAAAUCAUCUAAAAAAUUUUAUUUACCCGAAGUUAGAAGAUCUAAUUUGUACUAUCUUUAUAGAGUUAUAAAUAUAAUGUUUCAUAAUUAUAUAAAAAUAUAAAAUUAGGAGUGAAAGGCUUAUCAAUUCUAAAGGUAUCUGGAAUAAUUUUAAAUGUAUUUAGUACAUAAUAAAUUUAAAGUAAAGAAAUGUUAAGAUUUCAUUAAUUAUAGAAUAUUAAAUGUAAUUUGAGUAUGAAUUAACCUUCCAAUAUAUAAACUUAAUAAAAAUAAUUUAUUUAAUAUAUCUUUAUACUAAAAUUAUCUUUUCUGUAAUUAACUAGAAAAUUAAUAAUGUUAAAAUUAGUAAUCAAUAAUAUUUUAAAUUAAGGAACUCGGCAACUUAUUGUUCAACUGUUUAUCAAAAACAUAGUCUUAUGUAUUAUAUAUAAGGUGAAACCUGCCCAUUGAUUUUAUGAGUUUAACGGCCGCAGUACCUUGACUGUGCUAAGGUAGCAUAAUAAAUUGACUCUUAAUUGGGGCCUUGAAUGAAUGGAUUAAUGGAUAAUUUCUGUCUUAAUAAAAUUAAAAUUAAAUUACUUAAAAGGUGAAAAUUCCUUUAAUUUAUAUAAUAGACGAGAAGACCCUAGGAGUUUUAUUUUUGUUGGGGCGACAGUAUAACAUUAUAACUUAUAUAUUUAUAAUUAUUAUUAAACGAAUUAUUUUAAUAGUAAAGAAACUACCCUAGGGAUAACAGCAUAAUUUUUAAAAAGUUUGUGACCUCGAUGUUGGACUAGGAACUUUUAAUAUUAACAAUAUUAAUUGGUAGUUCUGUUCGA
rnacentral:rRNA from 1 species